UACGUAGGUGCCCAGCGUUGUCCGGAUUUACUGGGCGUAAAGAGCGCGCAGGCGGUCGUUCAAGUCGAGUGUGAAAGCCCCCGGCUCAACUGGGGAGGGUCACUUGAUACUGAUCGACUCGAAGGCAGGAGAGGGAAGCGGAAUUCCCGGUGUAGUGGUGAAAUGCGUAGAUAUCGGGAGGAACACCAGUGGCGAAGGCGGCUUCCUGGCCUGUUCUUGACGCUGAGGCGCGAAAGCUAGGGGAGCAAACGGG
rnacentral:rRNA from 1 species